UCUGUCAUUGCAGCAGAACUUGAAAUUAACGAAACAAGAAAAAAAUUGAAGCGUGAUACAUUGUCGACAAAAAUUCAGCUCCAUUGUGGAUUCGUAAUGAUAUGGGGUGAAGUUAUAUAUCGAUGUCAAGAAAAGUGUGCCAGAUUUUGGGUUCUAUCUACUAUGCAUAACUAUAAUCGAUAAAGAUGAAAUGAAGAUGUUGUUU
rnacentral:lncRNA from 1 species